AUACGUAGGUGGCGAGCGUUGUCCGGAAUUACUGGGUGUAAAGGGCGUGUAGGCGGGGGAGCAAGUCAGAUGUGAAAGCCCAUGGCUUAACUGUGGAACUGCAUCUGAAACUGUUCUUCUUGAGUGCUGGAGAGGAAAGUGGAAUUCCUAGUGUAGCGGUGAAAUGCGUAGAGAUUAGGAGGAACACCAGUGGCGAAGGCGGCUUUCUGGACAGUAACUGACGCUGAGGCGCGAAAGCGUGGGGAGCAAACAGGAUUAGAUACCCUGGUAGUCCACGCUGUAAACGAUGGAUACUAGGUGUGGGAGGUAUCGACCCCUUCCGUGCCGGAGUUAACACAAUAAGUAUCCCACCUGGGGAGUACGGCCGCAAGGUUGAA
rnacentral:rRNA from 1 species